rnacentral:rRNA from 1 species
ACCUUCGGGUGUGUAUAAAGUGGCGAACGGCUGAGUAACACGUGGGCAACCUGCCCCUCUCAUAGGGAUAGCCACGGGAAACCGUGGAUAAUACCGAAUACUUCGGGACUUCCGCAUGGAAGACUCGAGAAAGCUCCGGCGGAGAGGGAUGGGCCCGCGGCCUGUUAGCUUGUUGGUGGGGUAACGGCCUACCAAGGCAAUGAUGGGUAGCUGGGUUGAGAGACCGACCAGCCAGAUUGGGACUGAGACACGGCCCAGACUCCUACGGGAGGCAGCAGUGGGGAAUCUUGCACAAUGGGCGAAAGCCUGGUGCAGCGACGCCGCGUGCGGGAUGAAGGCCUUCGGGUUGUAAACCGCUUUCAGCAGGGACGAGGCGAAAGUGACGGUACCUGCAGAAGAAGCCCCGGCUAACUACGCGCCAGCAGCCGCGGUAAUACGUAGGGGGCAAGCGUUAUCCGGAUUCAUUGGGCGUAAAGCGCUCGUAGGCGGUCUGUUAGGUCGGGAGUUAAAUCCGGGGGCUCAACCCCUGUUCGCUCCCGAUACCGGCAGACUUGAGUUUGGUAGGGGAAGGUGGAAUUCCUAGUGUAGCGGUGGAAUGCGCAGACAUUAGGAAAAACACCAGUGGCGAAGGCGGCCUUCUGGGCCAUAACUGACGCUGAGGAGCGAAAGCUAGGGGAGCAAACAGGAUUAGAUACCCUGGUAGUCCUAGCCGUAAACGAUGGACACUAGGUGUGGGGGAAUAU